rnacentral:ncRNA from 1 species
GGCCGACUCCAAGAUGCCCGACAACCAGGCCGGCCAUGAGAAGGGCAUGACCGUGGCCCUUGCGGGCAAUGCCGGUGCAAACCUCGUCUACGAGUCG